GUGCCAGCAGCCGCGGUAAUACGUAGGUGGCAAGCGUUAUCCGGAAUUAUUGGGCGUAAAGCGCGCGUAGGCGGUUUUUAAGUCUGAUGUGAAAGCCCACGGCUCAACCGUGGAGGGUCAUUGGAAACUGGAAAACUUGAGUGCGGAAGAGGAAAGUGGAAUUCCAUGUGUAGCGGUGAAAUGCGCAGAGAUAUGGAGGAACACCAGUGGCGAAGGCGACUUUCUGGUCUGUAACUGACGCUGAUGUGCGAAAGCGUGGGGAUCAAACAGGAUUAGAUA
rnacentral:rRNA from 1 species